CCCUACAAAUCUUAGUGCUAAAGCUUCCGCUCAUAUUAAAUAAUGCAUUCAAGUGUGUAAUUAUAAUAUUAAUAUUUUUAAGACAAAUUGUGAGAAACUGGAGGGCUGGAACUUGUAGAAGAAAACUCUCAAAGCCUAAAUGGCGCCGAAGCCAGCUAAAAAUAGGUUGUCUCCCGAACCAGAUGGAAUGUUCACUGGAAUGGUUGUCUUCUUGGUUGAAAACGGGGUUCAGUCACGGCGAUUACAG
rnacentral:misc_RNA from 1 species